rnacentral:rRNA from 1 species
AGCGAACGCUGGCGGCAGGCCUAACACAUGCAAGUCGAACGAACCUUUCGGGGUUAGUGGCGGACGGGGGAGUAACACGUGGGAACGUGCCCUUAGGUUCGGAAUAACUCAGGGAAACUUGUCCUAAUACCGAAUGUGCCCUUCGUGGAAAAGUUCUAUCGCCUUUAGUGCGGCUGGCGUCUAGUUAGCUAGUUGGUGGAGGUAAUGGCUCACCAAGGCGACGAUCAGUAGCUGGUCUGAGAGGAUGAUCAGCCACAUUGGGACUGAGACACGGCCCAAACUCCUGCGGGAGGCAGCAGUGGGGGAUCGUGCGCAAUGGGCGAGACGCUGACGCGGCGAUGCCGCGUGGAUGAUGAAGCUCUUAGGAUUGUAAAAUUCUUGCACCAGUGACGAUAAUGACGGUACCCGGAGAAGAAGCCCCGGCUAACUUCGUG